rnacentral:tRNA from 1 species
GCCCGUAUAGUUCAGUUGGUUAGAACGCUCCCCUCAUAAGGGAGAGGUCGAUGGUUCAAAUCCAUCUAUUGGCACCA